rnacentral:rRNA from 1 species
AAGCCUCUUCCAAGAUUAAUUUUCCCUGGGGGUUUAACCCCCCUGAAGGGCCGUUCAAGACUAGGACGUUGAUAGGUUGGGUGUGGAAGCGCUGCGAGGCGUUGAGCUAACCAAUACUAAUUGCCCGUGAGGCUUGACCAUAUAACGCAAG